rnacentral:rRNA from 1 species
AAUGAACGCUGGCGGCAUGCCUAACACAUGCAAGUCGAGCGCAGGAAACUGACGGAACUCUUCGGAGGGAAGGCAGUGGAAUGAGCGGCGGACGGGUGAGUAACACGUAAGGAACCUGCCUCAAGGAUUGGGAUAACUCCGAGAAAUCGGAGCUAAUACCGGAUAGUUCAACGGACCGCAUGGUCCGCUGAUGAAAGGCGCUUCGGCGUCACCUUGAGAUGGCCUUGCGGUGCAUUAGCUAGUUGGUGGGGUAACGGCCCACCAAGGCGACGAUGCAUAGCCGACCUGAGAGGGUGAUCGGCCACACUGGGACUGAGACACGGCCCAGACUCCUACGGGAGGCAGCAGUAGGGAGUCUUCCACAAUGGACGAAAGUCUGAUGGAGCAACGCCGCGUGAGUGAUGAAGGUUUUCGGAUCGUAAAACUCUGUUGUAAGGGAAGAACACGUACGAGAGGGAAUGCUCGUACCUUGACGGUACCUUACGAGAAAGCCACGGCUAACUACGUGCCAGCCGCCGCCGUAA